rnacentral:rRNA from 1 species
AUUGAACGCUGGCGGCAGGCUUAACACAUGCAAGUCGAGCGGGGGAAGGUAGCUUGCUACCGUACCUAGCGGCGGAUGGGUGUGUAAUGCUUAGGUAUCUGCCUAUUAGUGGGGGACAACAUCUCGAACGGGAUGCUAAUACCGCAUCCGUCCUACGGGAGAAAGCAGGGGAUCUUCGGACCUUGCGCUAUUAGAUGAGCCUAAGUCGGAUUAGAUAGUUGGUGGGGUAAAGGCCUACCAAGGCGACGAUCUGUAGCGGUUCUUAGGGGAUGAUGCGCCACACUGGGACUGAGACACGGCCCAGACUCCUACGGGAGGCAGCAGUGGUGAAUAUUGGACAAUGGGGGGAACCCUGAUCCAGCCAUGCAGGGUGUGUGAAGAAGGCCUUAUGGUUGUAAAGCACUUUAAGCGAGGAGGAGGCUACUUUAGUUAAUACCUGGAGAUAGUGGACGUUGCUCGCAGAAUAAGCACCGGCUAACUCUGUGCCAGCAGCCGCCGUAA